rnacentral:rRNA from 1 species
UACGGAGGCAGCGAGCGUUGUUCGGAAUUACUGGGCGUAAAGAGUGUGUAGGCGGUGCUCUAAGUUCGGUGUGAAAUCUCCUGGCUCAACUGGGAGGGUGCGCCGGAAACUGGAGUGCUUGAGCGUGGGAGAGGAAAGCGGAAUUCCUGGUGUAGCGGUGAAAUGCGUAGAUAUCAGGAGGAACACCUGUGGUGUAGACGGCUUUCUGGACCAUAGCUGACGCUGAGACACGAAAGCGUGGGUAGCAAACAGG